rnacentral:rRNA from 1 species
UGGGCGUUAAGUUGCAGGGUAUAGACCCGAAACCCGGUGAUCUAGCCAUGGGCAGGUUGAAGGUUGGGUAACACUAACUGGAGGACCGAACCGACUAAUGUUGAAAAAUUAGCGGAUGACCUGUGGCUGGGGGUGAAAGGCCAAUCAAACCGGGAGAUAGCUGGUUCUCCCCGAAAGCUAUUUAGGUAGCGCCUCGUGAAUUCAUCUCCGGGGGUAGAGCACUGUUUCGGCUAGGGGGCCAUCCCGGCUUACCAACCCGAUGCAAACUGCGAAUACCGGAGAAUGUUAUCACGGGAGACACACGGCGGGUGCUAACGUCCGUCGUGAAGAGGGAAACAACCCAGACCGCCAGCUAAGGUCCCAAAGUCAUGGUUAAGUGGGAAACGAUGUGGGAAGGCCCAGACAGCCAGGAUGUUGGCUUAGAAGCAGCCAUCAUUUAAAGAAAGCGUAAUAGCUCACUGGUCGAGUCGGCCUGCGCGGAAGAUGUAACGGGGCUAAACCAUGCACCGAAGCUGCGGCAGCGA